GCGCUUGGAUUUCACGUCUCAGCAGUAAGGCUGAGUAUUAGGCAAAUCCGGUACUCGUUAAGGCUGAGCUGUGAUGGGGAGAAGACAUUGUGUCUUCGAGUCGUUGAUUUCACACUGCCGAGAAAAGCCUCUAGAUAGAAAAUAGGUGCCCGUACCGCAAACCGACACAGGUAGUCAAGAUGAGAAUUCUAAGGUGAGCGAGCGAACUCUCGUUAAGGAACUCGGCAAAAUGACCCCGUAACUUCGGGAGAAGGGGUGCUCUUUAGGGUUAACGCCCAGAAGAGCCGCAGUGAAUAGGCCCAAGCGACUGUUUAUCAAAAACACAGGUCUCUGCUAAACCGUAAGGUGAUGUAUAGGGGCUGACGCCUGCCCGGUGCUGGAAGGUUAAGAGGAGUGGUUAGCUUCUGCGAAGCUACGAAUCGAAGCCCCAGUAAACGGCGGCCGUAACUAUAACGGUCCUAAGGUAGCGAAACUCCUUGUCGGGUAAGUUCCGACCCGCACGAAAGGCGUAACGAUUUGGGCACUGUCUCAACGAGAGACUCGGUGAAAUCAUAGUACCUGUGAAGAUGCAGGUUACCCGCGACAGGACGGAAAGACCCCGUGGAGCUUUACUGUAGCCUGAUAUUGAAAUUCGGCACAGCUUGUCCAGGAUAGGUAGGAGCCUUUGAAACGUGAGCGCUAGCUUACGUGGAGGCGCUGGUGGGAUACUACCCUAGCUGUGUUGGCUUUCUAACCCGCACCACUUAUCGUGGUGGGAGACAGUGUCAGGCGGGCAGUUUGACUGGGGCGGUCGCCUCCUAAAAGGUAACGGAGGCGCUCAAAGGUUCCCUCAGAAUGGUUGGAAAUCAUUCAUAGAGUGUAAAGGCAUAAGGGAGCUUGACUGCGAGACCUACAAGUCGAGCAGGGUCGAAAGACGGACUUAGUGAUCCGGUGGUUCCGCAUGGAAGGGCCAUCGCUCAACGGAUAAAAGCUACCCCGGGGAUAACAGGCUUAUCUCCCCCAAGAGUUCACAUCGACGGGGAGGUUUGGCACCUCGAUGUCGGCUCAUCGCAUCCUGGGGCUGUAGUCGGUCCCAAGGGUUGGGCUGUUCGCCCAUUAAAGCGGUACGCGAGCUGGGUUCAGAACGUCGUGAGACAGUUCGGUCCCUAUCCGUCGUGGGCGUAGGAAAUUUGAGAGGAGCUGUCCUUAGUACGAGAGGACCGGGAUGGACAUACCUCUGGUGUACCAGUUGUCGUGCCAACGGCAUAGCUGGGUAGCUAUGUGUGGACGGGAUAAGUGCUGAAAGCAUCUAAGCAUGAAGCCCCCCUCAAGAUGAGAUUUCCCA
rnacentral:rRNA from 1 species